CGGAGGGCUGAGCAUCCUAACGGGCGGCUGAGGGUCCGGACGGGAGGGGAGACACUAGGGGCGCACGCGGUGCCUCUCACCUGCCUGGGAAACAGGCUUCAAAAUCAAAAGUAGCACGAAUAAUCAAAUGACAUCAGGAAGGACCAUCCUGAAGAAAAAGUAAACCAUUCAAUUACCAAUUCAAAAAUUAAUAAAUGACAUAGCAAGCAAUGUCAGAUUUUAGGGGCAGAGCAGGUGAAGGACGCAGACUCUGGGUUGUGCUCUGACCUCCAGACACACAGCUCGGCAUCCACCGUCUACACUGUAAGUGCAGUUGGGGUAAGGCCAUAGCACAACAAUGACUGUUCUUUAAAUGUCAUUUACUAUGAGGAGGAAGCACAGCACCCUUUACAAAUACUGGCGUAAAAACCAUUUAUUGUAUCUUUGAGCAAGGACUAGAGAGUGACAGAAUAAUCACAUGUAAAAAACGUGCUUGUGCUGAACCAUGAAUAAAAA
ensembl:lncRNA